rnacentral:rRNA from 1 species
GGACCUGACUGCUAUCGGAUUGAUACUAAGCCAUGCGAGUCUUUGUAGUAAUACAAGGCAUACGGCUCAGUAACGCGUAGUCAACCUACCCUAUGGACAAGAAUAAUCUCGGGAAACUGAGCAUAAUUCUUGAUAGAUCAUAAUGCCUGGAAUGGUUUAUGGUUAAAAUGAUUCGUCGCCAUAGGAUGGGACUGCGGCCUAUCAGCUUGUUGGUGAGGUAAUGGCCCACCAAGGCGAUUACAGGCACGGGCUCUGAGAGGAGAAGCCCGGAGAUGGGUACUGAGACAAGGACCCAGGCCCUAUGGGGCGCAGCAGGCGAGAAAACUUUGCAAUGUGCGAAAGCACGACAAGGUUAGUCCGAGUGAUUUCUGCUAAAGAGAUCUUUUGCUAGUUAUAAAACCACUAGUGAAUAAGGGGUGGGCAAGUUCUGGUGUCAGCC